GACGAACGCUGGCGGCGUGCUUAACACAUGCAAGUCGAACGGUGAAGGGACCGGUUUUUGCUGGUUCUGGAUGAGUGGCGAACGGGUGAGUAACACGUGAGUAACCUGCCCCCUUCUUCUGGAUAACCGCAUGAAAGUGUGGCUAAUACGGGAUAUUCUGCGCCUGCUGCAUGGUGGGUGUGGGAAAGAUAUUGUUUCGGUGGGGGAUGGGCUCGCGGCCUAUCAGCUUGUUGGUGGGGUGAUGGCCUACCAAGGCGGUGACGGGUAGCCGGCCUGAGAGGGUGGACGGUCACACUGGGACUGAGACACGGCCCAGACUCCUACGGGAGGCAGCAGUGGGGAAUAUUGCACAAUGGGCGCAAGCCUGAUGCAGCGACGCCGCGUGAGGGAUGGAGGCCUUCGGGUUGUAAACCUCUUUCGCCAGUGAAGCAGGCCUGUCCCUUGUGUGGGUGGGUUGACGGUAGCUGGAGAAGAAGCGCCGGCUAACUACGUG
rnacentral:rRNA from 1 species